CCAAUUAAGGCACUUGAAAAGGGAGUCGGGUGGAAGAUCCCCCGCCCACCAGUAUCCUGGAUUUACCCAGGUCGAGUUCAGAGAGCCUCCCCGGUCCCAACCCCCUCGGGCCCCAUGGGUCAGGGGGCCGCCUGCUGGGAAGUGCUACCUCAGCUAAGCCGCUCAGGUGUCCCGAGACUCCGGGCAAGGGAAGACAGGCGGCGAGACGGAGCCAGAAUAAGGGAUGCGGACGUCUGACCUGUGGAAAACCCAGCAUCUGCAGUGCCCAGCCGCACAGGGAACGUGGGCGGCGUGGUUCCAAGCACAGUGAAGACGCCAGGCUCGGAUCUGUGCUCAGAGCCGGGAUCCCUCCGGGCUGCUUCGUCCUGGCCAGGACUUUCCUUGCCCUGAAGUGAGGCGCCAGGGAAGCUGCAGGGCCCUCCGCCCUCUCUGAACUCCCACGUACUUGGGCCUCUCCCAGCCUUUCUUGGACCUGUGGAAGCAAUUCCUGCAGGACCAGACUCCCCUGUCUCCCCGCGGCCCCCUAGCCCGGACUGUGAGUCUCGAGCGGCUUCCGAGAGGCAGCUCGGGUGUCUUCGCAGAGACAGAUGAGGUGGGCUGGCGAUUCCCUAGCCUCAGAUGGCUCUGCCACCAGCCAGCUCUGUGAUCCUGGCCGAUGGGGUGCCAGGCAUUAGAAACCUUCCCUCCAAUCCUCACCAUGUCUCCAUUUUGCCAAAGAAGAAACUGAGGUUAAGGUCGCGAUGCUCUGGCCAGCAUCACAGGUAAACGAUUUUGGCAGUGCCCGGAGAAAGAUAGAAGUAAGACCUAAAGAGGAACUUUCCGCAUGUUAUGGGAGAGCCCCUGGGGCGAGGAGGCGAGGGCAGCCUUCCCCAGGCCAAGGGAGCAGCCAUCGCUCUUGGAUCUGUUUUUCCUCAAGCGUCUGUCCUGUGGGGCCUAGUCCCCAAGCGGCAGUCCUGGACCUAACGGGAGAAGGGGCUGGGGGAAGAGGGCGCACCCCCAGCCCGGGACCCACAGCAGCCCUAGCCAGUCCCCCACUCUCUCCCUCUGUAGGGGCCUCUCUCUGAGAUCGGGUCCUCCUCCUGCAGGGCAGCAGAGUGGAAGCCAGGGCCUGGGACCCUCUGGCUGGGCAAGGAGGGACUGGAGUCCGGCUCCCGGUGACCCCGUCCCCAGUGCCAGCGGUGGGGUCGCCUGUGGCGGCCCGGACAGGCCACGGGUCCCUCUCCCCAAGUCCCAUUACGUUGUAUUUAUGUUUCAUUUUAUAGUUUUUUUUUCCUCCUCCCUUAUUAUUGUCUCACUCUGGGGGAGGCAAAGGAUAUAAUAUAUUCAUCUUUAUUAUACCAAAUCUGUGUGAAGCAUUUAAUAAAACGCUGUUUCCACACAGCCAGGGAU
rnacentral:lncRNA from 1 species